rnacentral:rRNA from 1 species
CGGCUAACUCCCGUGCCAGCAGCCGCGGUAAUACGGAGGAUGCGAGCGUUAUCCGGGAUUCAUUGGGUUUAAAGGGUGCGUAGGCGGACUAUUAAGUCAGUGGUGAAAUCCUGCAGCUUAACUGCAGAACUGCCAUUGAUACUGAUAGCCUUGAGUUUGGUUAAGGUAGGCGGAAUGUGUAAUGUAGCGGUGAAAUGCUUAGAUAUUACACAGAACACCAAUUGCGUAGGCAGCUUACUGAGCCGACACUGACGCUGAGGCACGAAAGCGUGGGGAUCGAACAGGAUUAGAUACCCUGGUAGUCCACGCCGUAAACGAUGAUUACUCGCUGUUGGCGAUACACUGUCAGCGGCUAAGCAAAAGCAAUAAGUAAUCCACCUGGGGAGUACGGCCGCAAGGUUGAAACUCAAAGGAAUUGACGGGGGCCCGCACAAGCGGAGGAACAUGUGGUUUAAUUCGAUGAUACGCGAGGAACCUUACCUGGGCUUAAAUGUAGAGUGCAUUUUCUAGAGAUAGGAAUUCCCUUCGGGGCUUUCUGCAAGGUGCUGCAUGGUUGUCGUCAGCUCGUGCCGUGAGGUGUCGGGUUAAGUCCCAUAACGAGCGCAACCCUUAUCGUUAGUUGCCAUCUGGUAAAGCAGGGGACUCUAGCGAAACUGCCACCGUAAGGUGAGAGGAAGGUGGGGAUGACGUCAAAUCAGCACGGCCCUUAUGUCCAGGGCUACACACGUGUUACAAUGGUCGGUACAGAGGGCAGCUACCUGGUGACAGGAUGCUAAUCUCGAAAACCGAUCUCAGUUCGGAUCGAAGUCUGCAACUCGACUUCGUGAAGCUGGAUUCGCUAGUAAUCGCGCAUCAGCCAUGGCGCGGUGAAUACGUUCCCGGGCCUUGUACACACCGCCCGU